AAACAACUCUCAACAACAGAUAUCUUGGCUCUUGCAACGAUGAAGAACGCAGCGAAAUGCGAUACGUAAUGUGAAUUGCAGAAUUCCGUGAAUCAUCGAGUUUUUGAACGCAAGUUGUGCCCGAGUUCCGAGGGCAUGUCUAUCUGAGCGUCAACGC
rnacentral:rRNA from 1 species